AAUGUAUUUUAUUAAUGUAAACCUUUUCUUUGUCAACAGAUGACAAAUAGAAUUUUGUUGCUGAAGAACAUUUUGUUGCUUUAUAUAUAUGUUGUUUUAACAGCACAUAUAUAUAAAGAUUUUAAAGCACUUAAAAGAUGCUUAUUUUAGGCAAAUUUUUACUAUGAUUUAAACAAGGUGAAUUGACUUCAGAAACUUAAGGGCAAACCUGUUGCCAUAUUCCUAAGUCAGCAAUGCCUAACCAUGACCAGCAAGGUGAGGAGCAGUUCACACAUCCCCUGGCAGAGCCCCGUCAGCAUGUGCUGCCGGAGCUUCCUGCUGAAGGUGACACUCAGCAAGUGCUGCCUUUCAGAAUUUGGAAAUUCAACCAGUGCAGACGAAGAUGUAGG
rnacentral:lncRNA from 1 species